AGGCUGGUCUCGAACUCCCGAUCUCAGGUGAUCCACCCACCUUGGCCCCCAAAGUGCUGAGAUUACAGGCAUGAGCCACUGCACCGGCCUAUUUCCAAGCUUUUUAAGAGUAGGCUGGACUGGACAUGAUGCCUGACACCUGUUAUCCCAGCACUUUGGGAGGCCAGGGUGAGAGGAUCACUUAAGCCCAGGAGUUUAAGACUAGUUUGGGCAACAUGGCG
rnacentral:lncRNA from 10 species